rnacentral:rRNA from 1 species
AACGCGAAGAACCUUACCAGCCCUUGACAUCCCGGUCGCGGACACCAGAGAUGGAGUCUUUCAGUUCGGCUGGACCGGAGACAGGUGCUGCAUGGCUGUCGUCAGCUCGUGUCGUGAGAUGUUGGGUUAAGUCCCGCAACGAGCGCAACCCUCGCCCUUAGUUGCCAUCAUUUAGUUGGGCACUCUAAGGGGACUGCCGGUGAUAAGCCGCGAGGAAGGUGGGGAUGACGUCAAGUCCUCAUGGCCCUUACGGGCUGGGCUACACACGUGCUACAAUGGCGGUGACAGUGGGACGCAAUGGAGCAAUCCUGCGCAAAUCUCAAAAAGCCGUCUCAGUUCGGAUUGUGCUCUGCAACUCGAGCACAUGAAGUUGGAAUCGCUAGUAAUCGCAGAUCAGCACGCUGCGGUGAAUACGUUCCCGGGCCUUGUA